GCAAGUCGAACGAGGUCCAUGGAGCUUGCUCCGGAAGACCUAGUGGCGAACGGGUGCGUAACACGUGAGAAACCUGCCCCGGACUCCGGGAUAACAGUUGGAAACGACUGCUAAUACCGGAUACCACCGUCACCUCGCAUGAGGAGACGAUGAAAGGUCCGCCGGUCCGGGAGGGUCUCACGGCCUAUCAGCUUGUUGGAGAGGUAACGGCUCACCAAGGCAUCGACGGGUAGCUGGUCUGAGAGGAUGAUC
rnacentral:rRNA from 1 species